rnacentral:SRP_RNA from 1 species
GUGUGGGUCCUGUGCGACAGCGCUCCGUGAACCAUGUCAGGCGGGGAACCGAGCAGCAUUAAGCGGUCAGCGAGGUGCGCCGCAGUCCGCCUGCACGGU